rnacentral:pre_miRNA from 1 species
AGUGGGAUAGCUGGGUCAAAUGGUGGUUCAUUUCCAGUUUUCUAAGGAAUCUCCAUACUGCUUUCCAAAGAGGCUGCAUCAACUUGCAGUCCUACCAGCAAU